rnacentral:rRNA from 1 species
UACGUAGGGGGCAAGCGUCGUCCGGAAUCAUUGGGCGUAAAGAGCGUGUAGGCGGCCCGAUAAGUCCGCUGUGAAAGUCCAGGGCUCAACCCUGGGAUGCCGGUGGAUACUGUCGGGCUCGAGUCCGGAAGAGGAGUGUGGAAUUCCUGGUGUAGCGGUGAAAUGCGCAGAUAUCAGGAGGAACACCAAUUGCGAAGGCAGCUCGCUGGGACGUUACUGACGCUGAGACGCGAAAGCGUGGGGAGCAAACAGG